CCUACGGGUGGCAGCAGUGGGGAAUAUUGGGCAAUGGGCGCAAGCCUGACCCAGCAACGCCGCGUGAAUGAAGAAGGCUUUCGGGUUGUAAACUUCUUUUCUGCGGGACGAAGAAAGUGACGGUACCUCCGUUCUAAGCCACGGCUAACUACGGGCCAGCAGCCGCCGUACUACGUAGGUGCCAAGCGUGAUCAGGAUGUAUUGGGUGUAAAGGGCGUGUAGGCGGGAAAGCAAGUCAGAUGUGAAAUCUCAGGGCUCAACCCUGAGACUGCAUUUGAUACUGUUUGUCUUGAGUGCUGGAGAGGCAAUUGGAAUUCCGUGUGUAGCGGUGAAAUGCGUAGAGAUACGGAGGAACACCAGUGGCGAAGGCGGAUUGCUGGACAGUAACUGACGCUGAGGCGCGAAAGCGUGGGGAGCAAACAGGAUUAGAUACCCCAGUAGUC
rnacentral:rRNA from 1 species